GACGGAGGAUGCAAGUGUUAUCCGGAAUCACUGGGCGUAAAGCGUCUGUAGGUGGUCAAAUAAGUCAACUGUUAAAUCUUGAGGCUUAACCUCAAAAUCGCAGUCGAAACUAUUAGACUAGAGUAUAGUAGGGGUAAAGGGAAUUUCCAGUGGAGCGGUGAAAUGCGUAGAGAUUGGAAAGAACACCGAUGGCGAAGGCACUUUACUGUGCUAUUACUAACACUCAGAGACGAAAGCUAGGGUAGCAAACAGG
rnacentral:rRNA from 1 species